AGUACCACGCAGCUAGAGCGGAGCAGCGUUCCUCGCCGGGCCGGUGCCCGUCACUGGGCGCGCUACCGCGCUCCCGGGCACAGAGCGGCUCCGAAAGCACCGACAGACACCAGGACCCGAAGAAGCACGGGCAGAGCCGGUCCCCCCCGAGAGGCAGACGGGGGGCGCAGCCCGGCAGGGUCCGGUCCCGGCCGCCCUCCCUCCCCUCCGCACCGCCGCCAACCCCCGCAGCUGCACGGGGCUCCCGCCGGCAGCCGGGUCACGUGUGCGGGCCGUAAUCCCGGCGAGGGGGUGUCGUUACCGGGGAAGGGGGCGGCAGGAGGAGGGGCUGCCGCCGAUGAGGGCUGAAGCCGAGAGCGCGGCCGGCUGCGGGCGCCGGAGCCGCGGGCGCCGCUGCGGGCGAGGCGGGGGCUGCGGCCGCGGCCAUGGCCUGGCCCUGCAUCAGCCGGGUGUGCUGCUUGGCCCGCUUCUGGAGCCAGCUGGACAAGUCCGACCUCUCCGUGCCGCUCACCAUCCACAACUACUCGGACAUCGAGGAGCAGGAGGACGGGCCGCCCCAGCGCAGCGGGCCCCCUCCGCGGGGCAGCGCUCGCCCGCCCGCCCCGGCGCGCCGCCCGCGGGACCCCGCCGCCGCCGCCGCCGCCGCCGGGAAGCCGAGCGGCCGCAGGAAGAGCCGGGCGGCCGCCGCCGGAGAGCCCUUCGCGGCGGAGACCCAGUACCGGCGGGACUUCAGAGCGUGGCCCCUCCCGAGGAGGGACGACUUCCCCUGGGUCAGCGCCAGUAGCGGCGGCGGCGGCGGCGGCGGGAGGGACGGGGCCGCCCCCCAGCCCGCCCCGGGACGCGCCGCCUGCGCCCUGCCCGGCGGCGGCGGGAGACCGGCGGUCGACGGCCCCGAGCAGCUCCGGCCGCGCUCGCAGGCGGACGGCGGCCACACCACCUCCUACAGCUUCAGUGAUGGCAGUGCCCAGGACCACUCCCGCAGUCUGAAGCAGGGAAGAGGUGAUCACAACACACCCAUCUUCGACAAGAGUAUCGCCCAUGGACUGGAGCAAAACCAUCCAAGCCUAUAAAGUCAAAACAAGGCUUCAUUAUCCCAGAAGACCAUUUUGUUCAAGAGACAAGCUACAAGGCAGACUUUAAGAUCCCAGAGGUGAAGACCAGGUUCUCUCCCAACCCUUCUGCUGUUUUCCAGGCGCCAUCACGGAUCCUCAACGUGUGAACCUGGACCCUCCUCACACCCAGGCAGCUUAAACGCGGAGCUUCUGUUAAGAUGUAUCACUAUGCAAUUUUGAUGAGGAGUGUUAAGAUCAAAGAACCGGCGUUAUCAAAAGCAGCUCCAGUGAUUAAUGAUAUGCACACACACUUUCUGUUAACACAACAAACCGCAAAGCGCUUGGUUCAGAGCUGGCAAAACACACUGCAAGGAGUGACCUAGUUUUUCAUAGGAGCAGGUUCAUUGCUAUGCCAGCUGGCGUCACAUUAGGAGAUUGACUUUGGGCAGCAAAAGCAGGAUUGCAGACAACAUCCCUACACAGAAAUACACAGGGUAGGAGGGAAAACAAUCGCAAGUGGGAUGGAUAAUUAAAACCCAAACCAGUUUUAUUUAGCAACACCCUCUAAGUAGGCCACUGAAAGACAGGGAGUAGUCUGGCUGACUUCUGAGCUUCUUGAGGGGUUUUGGGAACAGCACCUCAAAUGGCAUCACCAGAAAGCACAGCUUCAAAGGGGCUGGUCUGAACUUCCAGAGUUGUUUUAGAAACUGGAGAAAGCCAAUGUCAUUGAACUAUAAAAUAAAUCCGGCACAUGCAAUGUCUUGGGCGUUUAAGGCUGGGAAGCUGGAUAUUUCCAAAAUUGGAGAGCUGAUGCAGAAGCAAGAGGGGACUGAACUCCAGGAGGCAGCCCUGACAGCAGUGCACCAGACUGGUUUGGAGAAGAGUGCAUGGAUACUGUCAGGCACCCACCAGACUCCUCCACAGGAGCUAAGAUACUUAUGUAAUUUGUACAGCUGUUAGGGUGAAUGUAAAUAUUGUACAUGGAUAUUACCUAAAGCAAUUUGUGAUCCUUUAAUGAAAAGGAUAUGCUUAUACUUUUAAUAAAUGUUAACUCUUUGCAUAUGCAAGGUGGAAAAUAUUGCCUUGAAAUUCCUAAAUUAUUGCCUGUAUAUUGGUAAUGCUAAUGCUAGGAACAACCACAAGCGAAUGUUACUUAGAAAUUCUUCUUAAAGAAAAAUGUAAUGUAGAAUGUAAGCCAUCUGUCAUUUUUAAGAUAGGCCAUUUCAAGUGUCAUUGUUCUGAAGCUGAUUUUUUUAGACUGCUGUGCAUUGAUCUUUUGCUGAGGUACACGUGUUUUAAGAAACCAUUUUUUUAGCCUUUGUUCAUCAAGACUUUACAAUUUCUAUUUCAAUAACUUAUGCAAUAUAAUUAGUCUACUGCUUAUUUAAUGGAUUUACUAAUUAUUUUGGAAAACAAAUUGAAAAACUUUUACUUUGUGUUUGCAACACAUGUGUGUUGUCCAGAACAAAGGGAAACUAUCCUCAGACUUGAACAGUGAUCAGAUGUUCAUUCAUCUGUAAUGAAACAGACUUUUAACAGGAGGAUUUUUUCUUAACCUUCCUACUAGCUGAAGUCUAAGGCAAAUUUAAUGAACUUCGGGGAUUCUGCAAAAACAUACAUAUUGCUGAUAAUUCCCGUAAGAACAAUUUUUGAGCUGUUGGCAUGUGAAUAGUACUUGGAAUACAUGCAGACAGCAUCUUCUCACUGCAUGAUGUGAGAAUUUAAUGGUGCCAUCUCUGUUCACUACAGUGGGACUGAACACAACCACCAGAAUAGGGAACACCUGCAGUAAGCUGCAUUUGGCUGGGACAAGGGAUGGCUCUUCCCACACUCAUCCUUGGAUAAACCUACAGCAAUCCCAGUGCUUGCCAAAAUAAUUUUUCAGGAGAUUAAUUUUUCAGGAAAUUCAUUUGAAACAUUCAAACUGUGCUAAAAGUUUUGCAUGUUAGAUGUUUCUAAGAAUUCAAUCUGCUUGUUUAAUCUCUUUAUAAUGUUUUUAACAGUUUUGUUCAAACAAUUUAAUUUCAUUUCAAUUCUGGACUUUAUUAACAGCAAGGAAAAAAAAGAAAAAAGGAAAUUGUCUAUUAUCUAUUCUUAAUUGACUGUAUUUCUUAAAAAAAAUUACCCAGGUUUAAACAAAUUGGUAAUAUAAUAAGCUUGUAUUUUAUCAAAUGGACUGGAUUUAAUUUAAUAAAUUAAAAUGUAUUUUGGCUA